AUUGAACGCUGGCGGCAGGCCUAACACAUGCAAGUCGAACGAGUGGCGGACGGGUGAGUAAUGUCUGGGAAACUGCCUGAUGGAGGGGGAUAACUACUGGAAACGGUAGCUAAUACCGCAUAACAUCAGAUGUGCCCAGAUGGGAUUAGCUAGUUGGUGGGGUACCGGCUCACCAAGGCGACGAUCCCUAGCUGGGCUGAGAGGAUGACCAGCCACACUUGAACGGAGACACGGUCCAGACUCCUCGGGGAGGCAGCGUUGGGGAAUAUUGCACAAUGGGCGCAAGCCUGAUGCAGCCAUGCCGCGUGUAUGAGGAAGGCCUUCGGGUUUUAAAGUACUUUCGGCGUGGAGGCGUUACCCGCAGAAGAAGCACCGGCUAACUCCGUGCCAGCAGCCGCGGUAAUAC
rnacentral:rRNA from 1 species